rnacentral:lncRNA from 1 species
AACUGCUUGAGCUAAGAGCAAGCUCAGUGUUUCCUUCAAGCAGCAUCGUGGACAGAUUCCUGCCAGACCCUUCAGAGCAAGCACCCCACACCCCUAGCCCAGGGUCUCUUCAUCGAUAGGGGGUGAUCUGUCUGCCCCUCACUGUUUUCUCCAAAUAGGAUCUCCAAAUGGACUAGACUCGACAAGCAAACAGUCUGCAGUGGACCCCUUGGGUCAUCCAUUCUGAUGGAAACAGAAAUAGAAUUCCAGCCCGGUGGAGUGGAGAAGGCUCCAGGAGGGCGUCGGGCCCAACCACCUUGCGUUAUGGAGCACAGAGAGGGAUUCUGCUGUGGUCACAUAGCACCUAAGUGGUUGCAGCAGCCUCAGAACAGGCUGUCCUGCCUGGAUAAGAUCUCACUAUAUUGCCCUGGCUGGUCUCAAACUCCCGUGUUCAAGUCAUCUGCCUGCCUCGACCUCCUAAAGGGCAAGCGGGAUUACAGGCUUCUCCACAGCCCAGCCACAGUGAGGGAGUCAUCAGCACUGGAACCCGGGGUCCACGGCCUUGGAGGAUCCGGACCCUCCGCAUUUGAGGAACUUGGCCUUCAGUCAGGGAGCCAAGAAGUCCCUGCCAAUCAAGGAGGGGGUGUGGGCUGGUGGGGGGGGGGCAGCCUUGGGGCACGGGAGCUGAUAGACCAGACUCAAGAGUUCUACUCCUGACUUCUAGAUUGUUCCACCUCCAUAUGGAAUAUGUUCCUUCCAUCUAACACUGUGUGAUUUGGGGACCAUCCAACUCAAAUGAAAGAAGCCAAGCCAUGCAGCGAGCCACCCCCUCCCCAAUGUGGGGUACCCCCUGCCCCCGCCCAGCUCCCCUGCCCUCCCAGCUGAGGGGGGAUCGCCGCCUGGUGAUCUCAGCCUCCCCUCCAAGUGGGCUGUGAAGUGUCUAAUCCAGGCUUUCAUCUGGCAUCCACAAUUAUAAUGUCAAGAUUGAAUAAUCUGCCUUUAUCUCCCGGGUGACAGCCAUGUAGAAACUUCAAAAGAAACAGUUUUGCUGGCAUCUAACGGCUUUUGUUAAUUACUAUAUCCCAAAGAAAAUGAAAUAAAGGAGGGAGAAAAAUGAUAUUUGUUUCUAACACUGCGCAUGCCUUUCGGAGACAAAUUUUAAAAAUAAACAUUAUUUUUAAAAGGAAACAAACAAACAAAACCAAACAGAAGGGAGGCUGGGUUUCUUGGGGAUUUCGGGAGUGCCUGUGUCUCCACGACCUGGGCAGUGCUCUUCUGAGAGGACUGAGGGCUGGGGAGGCAGAGAGAGCAACGACAGGCUACCAGCAUUGAGAAAGAAGGCCUCAAGGCCACAUUGAGAAGGACACUACGCUCUGGAUCACAGGCUGAGCCCUGCAUUCUUGACAUUGGAGCCCUUCGGGAGUGCCAGAACGAGCAGUCCCUCUCCUGGAGGAGCCUGCCUUCCCACCACGGAGGCUAACACCACAACAGCCACAGUGAGCCACCCCUUCUGCCCAUCUUCUUACGUGUCAAGCACUGUGUUCAGUGCCUUCACAGGUAACUUCGAUAAGUCACGAUGGGCAUGCUGCGACUAAGUUGGUACUGAUAUUCUAUUGGUUUUAAAUGGGGAAACUGAGGCUCAGGAAGGUUCAGUAUUUUGCUGGAGGUCACACAGCCAGGCAAGGGCAGAGCCAAGAUUUCAGUUUCAAUCUGUCUGGCUUGGAAGACUUCCUUAUCUUGUGGCAGCAUCUCCAGAGAUCAUGGGUCAGCCUCUUCUUGCCAGAGGCGUGUGUGUGUGCACAGACACAUACACGCUUCAAAACCUAAAAAGGUGGGAAUGAAAGAAGCUCCUAACCCUCCUGGCUUUUUUCCCAAAGCCAGGAGGCAGCUCCUGAAUGGUGGAUUUUGGACUACUGGUGAGGCUGUCAGCAAAGGGCCUGGCCCAGAGAGAUGCUCAAGAGUAGGAUGAAAAGACCGUGGGCUUCUUCCUCUGCAAAAGGAAAGGUUUGGGACUGAUGGAUGCUGAAAAGUCUAGAUCUUCAUAAUCCUCAACAGCUUCACUGCCACUGCACACACAAAAUGAGUGUGCCCUAUAUUUCCAGCCCUCUGAUGAAUACGAAAAGAGCCUGAAGAACUCAUCUUCCUGGUCGCAAAGUACUUUAAAAUAUAUAAUCCCUCAAUCUUAAACAUACACAUUUUAUUGCUUUUUAUUAUACAAUAAUACAUAUUUACUAUUGAAAAUACAGAUAAGAAAAAAGAAAAUGGUUCAUAAUAAUACUACCCAGGUUUAAAAAAUACUAUUCAGCCUUAUGUUGAAGA